AUGAAGAACCUGAGGCUCACCUUGCUUAUGUGAUUUGAGCAGGUUCAUGCAUCUUUCUGAUAUUCCAGCAAUACUGGAACAUUAACAGUUGAUAAUAGCUCCAUGUGCUACCUCUCCAAGAAACAAAUUUGCAUUUUAACCUGCACCUUCAAUGGCUGAACUUCAAAGGGUCACUGAUGAAUGCCACUGCAGAGAAAACCACAAAUUGGAGGAGCAGAGCUGUGCCUUUGGCCACUUCCUGGCACUGCAGAGGAACAUCUUGCCUCUGGUCUCCAGUGGGUGAUGUUCCUCUUCUGCCACAGGCCCCGGCAAUGUUGAUGUGAUUGCCAUCAGAGCUCAGAAGUACAGAGCAGAAUCAUCUCCUGGAGGAGAAUUCCCUUCGGUGUAAGAAGUUCUUACAGAAUUAAUCCUCAAAGACUAUGGGUGGACUCUGCUGGGUUUUUCCCUGGGGGUACCAGAAGAGAUGCAGAGCCUGCAAAUACAGGAAGGUGCUCUUUUCAGUGGCAGUAGUUCUCCUGGACCCUGUGGCUGAGUAUACUCCCACCUCUGCAGUAAGAUCACAGCUGAUCUGGAGAGGCAAGAGCUCUCACCAAGCAACUGAAAGAGAAAGUGUCCUGUCUGGAUUGUGAGGGGAAUGGGGACACAUGACUGGAAAUGAAGUGGCAGGUCAUAAACUAUCAUAAACUCAGAAGGAGAGGAUUUCAUUUUUGAGACACUCAUCACAACUAGAGAGACUACAGCUGAGAAAAAUGCAAUCUUUAGGGGAACUUGGAUUCUUGAGGUAUUUGAGCUUCUUCGGAGGAAAUAGAAACUCGAAAGAGAUCUUUGUUCCAUGAUUCUUUGGUAGCCUCUGACCACCAGCCGCCAUUACUCCAGAUUCUCUUUGAGGAUCCUGCAUCAGGAGAAUGAGUUGACUGGACACCUCUGGGAACUGUGGGCAGCUCCAGGCUGAACUAGAGAAGGGGCAUGUCAAAGGCCACUUAUUUGUGGCCUGGCCCUUUGAAGGCCAGAUGUAAGAACCAGUUUCUCACAGGUCCCAUGUGAAAUGCUUUUCAUAUUUAUUUCCGUCUGAGACUCACUUAGGCUAGGCAAAUAUCCCAUGGGUCUCUGUCUCUCCAGUGCUUUCUUGUUUCUGUGAAAUAAGCUCUUUGGAAUGAAUAAAGAGAGUGGUAUCACUUCGGCUUGAACACUAAUGAACAUUUUCACUUUGUCAUAGUGUAAAUAUUAAAGUUAUAAGAGACAGCCCAGGGACCAACUAAUUUUUUUUAAAGACCCAAAGUGCUUGCAUAGUUUCUAAAAUUCUACACUGAGGAACUAUAUCCUCAUUCAGCACUGAGACUCCUUGGUUCUCUGAAACCAAAGUCUCCAGGUGGCUCCAGGAGCCAACCAGGAUGGAGCUCCUUAUAGCUCCAUGCAGUGUCAGAACUGGGAAACUUAGAAAUCUUUCAGUCCACCCAUCAUUUUAUGGGUGGUAGACUGAGAUCCAGAGACUACUCAACUCUCCUAAUUAACUAUGAAGGGUUAUGAUUAAAAUGCAAAUCUGAGGCCCUCCAAUUCGGUCCUCUUCUCACUCUACUUCUUCUGGGGCUUUCCCAGCAAGUGAUUCCUUGAUUGGUAGAGCAGAAAAUAACUUCAGUUUUUAGGAUGACUUUAUUCCCCUAAAGAGCAUCUUUGCCACAUCUUCUCCUUGUCCAUCUCUAGGGGCUCUACAGUGUUUACCUACUGGUAGAUUUGUACCAGAUGUGCUGGUACAAAUUAUAGAAAUAUUUGCAAUUAUUCCAUUUUAUUCUGAAUUUGUUGAUACAGCGUUUCUUCUGUUUUAUUGGCCAUUUUUAAGGAAGAAGGAACCCAAGAUUAAUUGCUAUAGCUAUAUGUCAUGCUUGCCUUUGAACUCAACUCAUUGUAAUCCUUGUGACCUAUUAUAGUAGACAUGCUUGGUGUAACAGGUAUUCAGGAUUACUGAAUCCACUUGAGUUUUUUUGAGGACAGUGGCCAAAUAUAAUUUACAAUUCUGUGGUUGAGUUAGGCUGCUCCUUCUUUUCCCCAGUGUUAGGCAUUUUCUUUUACUAGGUCCUCUGGAAGGAUUUAGAAACAAGGCAUUAUUGUACUUUUGAAUAAAAAUGGUUUGUCAAACAGAUUACGUUUGUAGUUUGUGUUGUUGAACAAAAAUAAUCAAGAACUCUACUUGAAGUCUGAAACAAAUUCGGAAAAAAAUUAAAGGUACUUUUAUUUUACAUAGUAGGGAGUAGAUUUUAGGAACGCCUUACUCCUGGGGUAGAGCACAUGAAUAUGUGUUCUAGAGAGAUUUAGACAAAUUUACUUACAUUAAGCAAAUGACUUUAAGGGAAACUAGGAAUGUUUUCAGGGCACAUAACCUUGUAGUUAAAAGAUACUCUUAUUAGAUCAUUUUUUCUAAUUAUAAAAAUGUGUUCUCAUUGAAGAAGAAAUUGUGGUUUACAUCUAAUUAUAAAAAGAA